AGGCUUUAUACGAGAGGAUGAGUGACCAGACAUGAUUCUCAAGGACUUCCAGAAAUAGGAAAAGGACUUCAGCAUCUUUGAGCCAAUCAGAAACUUACAUUGGCAAAUCUCCUACCGUCUUAGGCAGGCAUAGUAAAGAUUUUUGAGAAACAGAUGGAGGAGGAGUUGAAUGAUCAGGACAAACCUGUUUUUUACGGUAAUCAGGACAAACAUGUUACUCAGUUUCUCCUUCUUCUCUUCCUCCUUUCCUUCCUCCACCAAGUCCUCUUGGUUGAGAUAGCAAUGCAGCAUGGAGUUCUCGAGCUUCUUUGGUCCGUCAUCAUGCUUGUGAACCUAGAGUCCAGCGCCAAUACGACCUCCUUCCUUGUCUGCCCCAUCUUCUCGCAAUCUCGCCUUACAGGCAGAGCAAUCCCAAGCUGCAAAGAACUCGGUAUCAAAAAAUAAGGAAAACACUAGGCGAUAAGCAAGGUCGGGGCAAUCUUCUACCAAUCCAGAAACUCUAACCAAUUGGAUGGACAAGAACAGUACAAAUGAUGAGCCAACGCACAUGGAUCCGGUGCACAGGUGGCAAGGAAAUCAGGGAACGAAGAAAAGGAACGGACGGAGAUGACAGAGUAAGGAGGAGAAAGGAGCUCCUGCCACCAGGCUGAGGGAAAAAGCAAGACACUAGCGGAGGGACUCUAUAUGCUGGUAGAAAGUAGCGGCAUGGGCGAUAUGGCGGAAGGACGGGAGAACAGCGAUCUGACGUUGUUAGAAACUCACCCGUGAUGCGGUGGACUCGAAGCACGCACGAAGGAAGACACGAGAAGGCUCAGAUUUGUGGGACUUUGGAAUCCGGUGAGCGAUCCCUACCUACCGGUAUGGGCACACGUAGCGAAACACAUCAGCGCGUGGGGACGACGAGAUCCAAGGCGAGACACGGAUGACGAGGGGCACUCACCGAGACUUACGACGACGUGUAGGCCGCCACGCGCGCGCCGUCUCUGGUCGGAGCGUUUUGACGAAGAUCUGACCGCCACGCACGCGCCGCCGUCCCCAAUCCGAGACGUCUAAACGGCGGCACGACGGACGGAACAGAGUCUUAGCGACGACAGCCACGUCCGAGUGUCCCACGCAGCGCGCAGAUGCCAAUGUGUGGAUAUCGGGAGGCGUGUCGCGGGCGGCAAUUUCCACGAGAGC
rnacentral:lncRNA from 1 species